GUUGCUAUUUAUCCUUCGCUGUGUUAUAAACCGGAGAAGAAAGCCAGCAAGUUCGACAAGUGAAUUGAAAAACGAAACCGAAGGGAGAGCGGAGCUCUAGCUCCGCUCUUAUAAUAUUAUACUACAUUAUUAUAAUAUUAUAUUAUAUAUCAUAUAAUAAGCCUGAACGGUGUUAUUGAACGAAAUGGAUUUGCAACGAAAUAUUGGUAUCUAAAUUUUUCAUAACUCACGUGCAGAAUAUUUAUUGUUCUCGGUUCAACGGUGUUACUAAACGAAACGGAUUUGCAACGAAAUAUUAAGAUUCCAAUUUCUCCAUAAAUCACGUAUGAAAUAUUUAUUGUCCCCAGAAUGUCCAAGUGUUAGGGAGACAUAAAAAUGCGAAAACAUUCGAUUAAAAAUGCGUCGAUAUUAGCAAAUGUUAUUUUUGGAAGCAAACAAUCUGUGUAUUUCCAAUCGGCGAGAAACGACGAAUCGUUUUGCAUAACAAGUGACACGAUAUCUGAAUCACGCACCUUGUACAAAACAGAAGAUAAGAAAAUAGCAUCGCGUCCGAAUUAUUAAUGUAUUACAUGGGAGACAAAUAAUAAUAAUAAUAACAGUACAAAUUUACUUUUA